rnacentral:sRNA from 1 species
AUGGCCACUCGGACACUGCGGUUCGCAGUGAGCCUUCCAUACGCACCUGAUGACUGCUCGCUACGCUCGGUUAGCC